rnacentral:rRNA from 1 species
UACGAAGGGGGCUAGCAUUGCUCGGAAUCACUGGGCGUAAAGGGCGCGUAGGCGGCCAUUCAAGUCAGAGGUGAAAGCCCAAGGCUCAACCUUGGAAUUGCCUUUGAUACUGUUUGGCUUGAGACCGGAAGAGGUUAGUGGAACUGCGAGUGUAGAGGUGAAAUUCGUAGAUAUUCGCAAGAACACCAGUGGCGAAGGCGGCUAACUGGUCCGGUUCUGACGCUGAGGCGCGAAAGCGUGGGGAGCAAACAGG